rnacentral:rRNA from 1 species
GGGUAACGGGGUGUUAGGGCACGACACCGGAGAGGGAGCCUGAGAAACGGCUACCACAUCCAAGGAUGGCAGCAGGCGCGCAAAUUACCCAAUCCCGACACGGGGAGGUAGUGACAAUAAAUAACAAUACGGGGUUCUUUCGGAUUUCGUAAUUGGAAUGAGUACAAUUUAAAUCUCUUAACGAGGAACAAUUGGAGGGCAAGUCUGGUGCUAGCAGCCGCGGUAAUUCCAGCUCCAAUAGCGUAUAUUAAAGUUGCUGCAGUUAAAAAGCUCGUAGUUGAAUUUCGGGACCAUCAUGUCGGUCGUGCCUCGGUACGUACUGGCAUUGUUGGUUUCUCCCUUCUGACGAACCAUGAUGUCAUUUAUUUGGUGUUGUGGGGAAUCAGGACUGUUACUUUGAAAAAAUUAGAGUGUUUAAAGCAGGCUCACGCUUGAAUACAUUAGCAUGAAAUAAUGAAAUAGGACGUUUGAUUCUAUUUUGUUGGUUUCUAGGAUUGACGUAAUGAUUAAUAGGGAUAGUUGGGGGCAUUAGUAUUCAAUUGUCAGAGGUGAAACUCUUGGAUUUAUUGAAGACUAACUACUGCGAAAGCAUUUGCCAAGGAUGUUUUCAUUAAUCAAGAACGAAAGUUAGGGGAUCGAAGACGAUCAGAUACC